UACGGAGGGUGCAAGCGUUUAAUCGGAAUUACUGGGCGUAAAGCGCGCGUAGGCGGCUUUGUAAGUUAGAGGUGAAAGCCCGGGGCUCAACCCCGGAACUGCCUUUAAAACUGCAUCGCUUGAAUCCGGGAGAGGUGAGUGGAAUUCCGAGUGUAGAGGUGAAAUUCGUAGAUAUUCGGAAGAACACCAGUGGCGAAGGCGGCUCACUGGACCGGCAUUGACGCUGAGGUGCGAAAGCGUGGGGAGCAAACAGG
rnacentral:rRNA from 1 species